GAUGAACGCUGGCGGCGUGCCUAAUACAUGCAAGUCGAGCGAACGGACGAGAAGCUUGCUUCUCUGAUGUUAGCGGCGGACGGGUGAGUAACACGUGGAUAACCUACCUAUAAGACUGGGAUAACUUCGGGAAACCGGAGCUAAUACCGGAUAAUAUUUUGAACCGCAUGGUUCAAAAGUGAAAGACGGUCUUGCUGUCACUUAUAGAUGGAUCCGCGCUGCAUUAGCUAGUUGGUAAGGUAACGGCUUACCAAGGCAACGAUGCAUAGCCGACCUGAGAGGGUGAUCGGCCACACUGGAACUGAGACGCGGUCCAGACUCCUACGGGAGGCAGCAGUAGGGAAUCUUCCGCAAUGGGCGAAAGCCUGACGGAGCAACGCCGCGUGAGUGAUGAAGGUCUUCGGAUCGUAAAACUCUGUUAUUAGGGAAGAACAAAUGUGUAAGUAACUAUGCACGUCUUGACGGUACCUAAUCAGAAAGCCACGGCUAACUACGUG
rnacentral:rRNA from 1 species